UGAGAACAUCUCCCGAUGAUGCUUUAUCAUUUUUGUCACUAUCACCGGGAGWUGUUCCCAAUAAAAGGCAGGGAUUUUCUGUGAGAUGUUGUAGGAAACUACCGUUAGAAUUUUCAUUCAAAACCCAAUCCGAAAUACCAUUUCUAUUCCUACAAUCUCUCUCUCUCUCUCUCGCACUCUGGUUUAUCACCGUGACUUCAGUCUCUGUUUCUACCCCCGUGAUUCGAUCUUUUGGUGCUGAAGGCUUGUUCAACCCGAAGAGAUUAUUCAGCUUGAUAAUCUGAAAACCGAGUGCAGAAUCUGUUGAGUGACAAUAAAAGCGAAAUCAUUACUGAUGGCAAUCACAUGAGCUCAAAGGUAGUUAGUUGAUCCUUCAAGAUGAAAAUACGGGCAUUCGCCAUAAAGGGCUUGUUGUUGAUGGAAGGAACAUAAGUUCUAAGGCAACCAUCAAGAAAGGCAAAGGGGAUCUUGGCAACCGGAAAGGUCUUGGCAACACCACCAAACAUAUCAUGUCCUCAAUAGGAGACAUCGUCAAAGAAGAAGAAUUAUCCAAAGGAGUUCAAUAUAGCCAAUGAAGCAUAUUUACAUGACGAAAGAAAAUGCAUAGAGAAGCAAGCAGCAACAAUGGACCAUUAUUUUUUGGACACAUUUCUUUUAGAUCAUGGUCAUGACAUGACUCUGAUACAUUAGUAUUUGUGGGGUGCUAGUAAAUGAGUUUAUGCAACUGUUGUUAGUUGGAUGAAGAUCAGGAGCAUGGUUCACAAGUUUCCAAUUCAAUGGGAUACUCUUUCCUCCCAUUUGCAAUUUUAGAGAGUUGAAUUUAGACUUUAAGCCAGAUGAUGAUACCAGUGUUGGUUCUCCUAAGUUGCUCUAAGAAUUUCUGCGUGGCAUGUCUCCCAAUCAUGAAGGGUUAUGAGCUCAACUACCUCUUCAAAUUUCAGCUCCUACAACUGCAGAUAUUAACUGAACAAUUUGUUUUGCCUUGUCAUGCAAAUGUGAUUAGUCAAUUUCUCUCAUUUGUGAUUUGUCAAUUUCCUGAAAAUUAUACAAAUACGAAGACCUUUUGUAUUUCAUACCUAGAUGGGACAUAAUGCAUAUAUAUGUAUUUGACCUCUCAAAGAUCUGAAACUUUGGCAUU